ensembl:lncRNA
GAAGAACUGUGUGAUGAUGUCAUCUCAGAUACAACAUUGGCAUCUUUGGCGGUAUAGAUGGAUUUUCAAGGAAGUUUACUUGCUCUGACUCUGGUCCCUGUCUCCAGUCCCACAUCUUGUCAUUCUGCUACUCUGUCCUGGAUUCCCCACUCUACUACUCCCUUGGAUUCCCCUCCGGACCUGCUUACCCUGUCCCAACCCCUCUCGCUCCAGCCUCAGCCUCCGCACCUGUUUUUUUACAAUCCGCCCGAGCUUCCCUUGACCCACACUCCAUCAUACCAUGUGUUUCAAUAAAUACCUUGGUUACUUCA